UGCAACCGCGGGGACUCGAACCACCGAUGUCGAUAUUGCAAAUCCCUCACGCUAACCACUGCGCUAUAGAUAC